rnacentral:sRNA from 2 species
UUAUAGCAAUGAUCGCAGCGGCAUCCUUUUUUGUAUAACAGACAGUUUUUUAACUGCCUGUUAUACAAAAAAGAUAUAGCGAAGAGCAGGACGAUGU